UACUCGAGUGGCGAACGGGUGAGUAACACGUGGGUGAUCUGCCCUGCACUUCGGGAUAAGCUUGGGAAACUGGGUCUAAUACCGGAUAGGAACCAUCUUUAGUGUGGUGGCUGGAAAGUUUUUUCGGUGUAGGAUGAGCUCGCGGCCUAUCAGCUUGUUGGUGGGGUAAUGGCCUACCAAGGCGGCGACGGGUAGCCGGCCUGAGAGGGUGUACGGCCACAUUGGGACUGAGAUACGGCCCAG
rnacentral:rRNA from 1 species